rnacentral:rRNA from 1 species
GACGGGUAUCCGGCCUGAGAGGGUGAACGGACACACUGGAGCUGAGACACGGUCCAGACCCCUACGGGAGGCAGCAGUAGGGAAUAUUGCUCAAUGGGGGAAACCCUGAAGCAGCAACGCCGCGUGGAGGAUGAAGGUUUUAGGAUUGUAAACUCCUUUUGUUAGAGAAGAUUAUGACGGUACCUAACGAAUAAGCACCGGCUAACUCCGUGCCAGCAGCCGCGGUAAUACGGAGGGUGCAAGCGUUACUCGGAAUCACUGGGCGUAAAGAGUGCGCAGGCGGGAUAGCAAGUCAGAUGUGAAAUGCUAUGGCUUAACCAUAGAACUGCAUUUGAAACUGUUAUUCUA